AGAGUUUGAUCCUGGCUCAGGACGAACGCUGGCGGCGUGCCUAACACAUGCAAGUCGAACGAAGCUGCAGGGAAUGAGACUUCGGUCAAAGGAACUGUAGACUUAGUGGCGGACGGGUGAGUAACGCGUGAGCAACCUGCCUUUCAGAGGGGGAUAACGUUUGGAAACGAACGCUAAUACCGCAUAACAUAUCGGAACCGCAUGAUUCUGAUAUCAAAGGAGCAAUCCGCUGAAAGAUGGGCUCGCGUCUGAUUAGCUAGUUGGUGAGGUAACGGCUCACCAAGGCGACGAUCAGUAGCCGGACUGAGAGGUUGAUCGGCCACAUUGGGACUGAGACACGGCCCAGACUCCUACGGGAGGCAGCAGUGGGGGAUAUUGCACAAUGGGCGCAAGCCUGAUGCAGCAACGCCGCGUGAGGGAAGACGGUUUUCGGAUUGUAAACCUCUGUCUUUGGUGAAGAAGAAAGUGACGGUAGCCAAGGAGGAAGCCACGGCUAACUACGUGCCAGCAGCCGCGGUAAUACGUAGGUGGCAAGCGUUGUCCGGAUUUACUGGGUGUAAAGGGAGCGCAGGCGGGACUGCAAGUUGGAUGUGAAAUACCGUAGCUUAACUACGGAGCUGCAUCCAAAACUGUAGUUCUUGAGUGAAGUAGAGGUAAGCGGAAUUCCGAGUGUAGCGGUGAAAUGCGUAGAUAUUCGGAGGAACACCAGUGGCGAAGGCGGCUUACUGGGCUUUAACUGACGCUGAGGCUCGAAAGUGUGGGGAGCAAACAGGAUUAGAUACCCUGGUAGUCCACGCUGUAAACGAUGAAUACUAGGUGUGGGAGGACUGACCCCUUCCGUGCCGCAGUUAACACAAUAAGUAUUCCACCUGGGGAGUACGACCGCAAGGUUGAAACUCAAAGGAAUUGACGGGGGCCCGCACAAGCAGUGGAUUAUGUGGUUUAAUUCGACGCAACGCGAAGAACCUUACCAGGAUUUGACAUCCCACUAACGAGGUAGAGAUACAUUAGGUGCCCUUCGGGGAAAGUGGAGACAGGUGGUGCAUGGCUGUCGUCAGCUCGUGUCGUGAGACGUCGGGUUAAGUCCCUUAACGAGCGAAACCCCUGUCGUUAGUUGCCAUCAUUUGGUUGGGCACUCUAACGAGACUGCCUAAGUUAAUGCGGAGGAAGGCGGGGACGACGUCAAGUCCUCAUGGCCCUUAUGCUUGGGGCUGCACACGUCCUACAAUGGAUUCCACAAAGGGAAGCGAAGUCGCGAGACGGAGCGAAUCCCAAAAAAGGAUCCUCAGUUCGGAUUGUAGUCUGCAACUCGACUACAUGAAGCCGGAAUCGCUAGUAAUCGCGGGUCAGCAUACCGCGGUGAAUAUGUUCCUGAGCCUUGUACUCACCGCCCGUCA
rnacentral:rRNA from 1 species